AAAACAAUAACUAAAGAAAAAUAAAAAAACCACACUGUAUUUUUUAAAAAAAAAAUUAAAAAAUAGUAUUUUUUUUUUUUAAAUUUACACAGUAAAAAUAAUUUUUUUUUAAUUAAUUUUAGAUAUUUCUUAAAAGUUUUCAAGUUUUUUCAUGAAUGGAUUGAUAUCAUUUGAAAAAUUGUACAAACCAACGGAAGGUUUACAAGAAAUUACUCCUUGACCACUGUGAAGGAGAGAAUGAGAUAGCUAAUGCAGCCUUGAAAUUUUGCAAAAGAGUUCAUCACAAUCAAGCCUUUGAGUUUGUGGGCAAGGCUAUGGGCGAGGGAUUAGCACAUUGCUCCCAAGCAGCAAGCCAAACAGGCAUGCAGGUAGGCAUGCGAAGCAAUAUGGGUAAACAAGGCAGCGGGUAGGCUGCCUAGCCUGAGCAGUAUGUUGGGCUGACUUGGGUGAUGCACUGGCGUGCAGGCUGACUUUAGCAAGAUGUUAAGCAGCCACUGGUGUGAGCAUACAGAUGUGGAAUGUUGGAAGUAGACUGUGCAACAUGUGGGAGGCAGACAACAUGACAAGUGGGCAGGCUGGCUGGCUUGGGCAGUUAUCUCUAAGGCUAAGUUGGGUGGAUUUCAGACAUGGUAUGGCAAAUUGCCAACAUGGCAAGAAACAGUUAACCUAAUCUGAUAAGGAUGCAAUUGAUCAAGUCCCUAGGCAGUUGGGGGUGUCGACUGCCAUUACUGCCUUGUAAUAAUCCCAUGUAACUUCCCUUGUAAUGCCUUGUCUAUAAAUAGGCAGUAAUGUGCCUUUGGAAAUUUUUGUAUGAGGAGUCCCGUGAUGUGUUUUCUUAUUAUUGUGAAUGAUUAAGGUUGAGAGUGAUUCCUAUAAA